rnacentral:rRNA from 1 species
UACGUAGGGGGCAAGCGUUAUCCGGAUUUACUGGGUGUAAAGGGAGCGUAGGCGGCUUAGUAAGUCAGAAGUGAAAGCCCGCAGCUCAACUGCGGGACUGCUUUUGAAACUGUUAUUCUAGAGUAUGGGAGAGGUAGGUGGAAUUCUUGGUGUAGGGGUAAAAUCCGUAGAGAUCAAGAGGAAUACUCAUUGCGAAGGCGACCUGCUAGAACAUAACUGACGCUGAGGCACGAAAGCGUGGGGAUCGAACAGG